rnacentral:RNase_P_RNA from 1 species
AGAGCAGGCGAGGAGGUUGCAGCAAACUGGUUCGUCCAUUCUGCUGAGGAAAGUCCGGGCUCCCGAAAGGCCAGACUUGCUGGGUAACGCCCAGUGCGGGUGACCGUGAGGAGAGUGCCACAGAAACAUACCGCCGAUGGGGUUUUGGCUCUUGAGUCAGAACCCACAGGUAAGGGUGCAAGGGUGCGGUAAGAGCGCACCAGCAGCAUUGAGAGGUGCUGGCUCGGUAAACCCCGGUUGGGAGCAAGGCAAUGGAGCGAGGGUUGGUCUUUUUCCUGUUCCGAUUUUGAAGCCGCUUGAGGUGUCUGGUAACAGGCAUCCCAGAUAGAUAACUUCCCUCCGGCUGCACUGUAGCUGGAGAACAGAACCCGGCUUAUGUCCGGCUCUUUCU